UGUAGAGGCCAUGGAGGGGCUCU
rnacentral:misc_RNA from 1 species